GUUUAAGAAACAGGUAAAAAAGCGUUUAAGCAGAUAUAAAGCGUUUAAGAAACAUAUAAAGAAGGUGUUUAAGAAACAGGUAAAAGGUGUUUAAGAAACAUAUCUGUUUCUUAAACAUAUCUUUUUGUUUUCUUUUGUUUUCUUUUAUCUGUCCCGAGGAAGGUUUUUACCGAUUUACUCCUGAGGGCUUGUAGCUCAGUUGGUUAGAGCGCGCGCUUGAUAAGCGUGAGGUCGGAGGUUCAAGUCCUCCCAGGCCCACCAAUUUAUGAUUGCUGAUAAAUUUGCUGAUAAGUUUUUUGUGAAUGUUUUGAUGGUCUUUUAUCUUACGAUCUUUCACUUUUAUGUUGCAAUCUUUCAAAAGUAUUUGAACUGUUUUAGGGGCCGUAGCUCAGCUGGGAGAGCACCUGCUUUGCAAGCAGGGGGUCGUCGGUUCGAUCCCGUCCGGCUCCACCAUCUUUGGUUAUCAUCAUCGUUAAAGAACAAUGUUUUGCAAUAGAUCUGUAGAUCUUAAGUCUAUCAUCUAUUGCCUGUUCUAUUGAAAUUGUGAAGAGAAGAUAUAUUCAGACAUUACUGUUUUAUUCAGCUAUUGUUGUUUUGUUGUUGCUUUUAAUGUUUAAGUCUCUCCUUUAAGGAAUGACAAAAAGCUUAAAAACACAACGCUAAUUUAAAAACACAACGCUAACAUUGUUAAACAAUGUUUAAAGCAAUAUAAUGUGU
rnacentral:tRNA from 1 species